rnacentral:sRNA from 1 species
GUCGCUGCAAAUUCAGCGACCGGGUUUGGCGACCCGAACUUCAGUAGGCGCACAAGCGCCAGAGAGUCCAUUGCAGGCGCUUUUUUU